UACGGGGGGGGCAAGCGUUGUUCGGAAUUACUGGGCGUAAAGGGCGCGUAGGCGGCCUUCUAAGUCGGACGUGAAAUCCCUCGGCUUAACCGAGGAACUGCGUCCGAUACUGAAAGGCUUGAAUCCGGGAGAGGGAUGUGGAAUUCCAGGUGUAGCGGUGAAAUGCGUAGAUAUCUGGAGGAACACCGGUGGCGAAGGCGGCAUCCUGGCCUGACACUGACGCUGAGGUGCGAAAGCGUGGGGAGCGAACGGG
rnacentral:rRNA from 1 species